rnacentral:rRNA from 1 species
AUACGGAGGAUGCAAGCGUUAUCCGGAUUUAUUGGGUUUAAAGGGUGCGUAGGCGGAUGAUUAAGCGUGAGGUGAAAUGCCACUGCUCAACAGUGGAACUGCCUCGCGAACUGGUUGUCUUGAAUGCUCCUGCCGUGGGAGGAAUGUGUGGUGUAGCGGUGAAAUGCAUAGAGAUCACACAGAACACCGAUUGCGAAGGCAUCUCACGAAGGGGUGAUUGACGCUGAGGCACGAAAGCGUGGGGAUCGAACAGGAUUAGAUACCCUGGUGGUCCGCACAGUAAACGAUGAAUACUUGUUUUCGGCGAUAUAAUGUCGGAGGCAAAGCGAAAGCGAUAAGUAUUCCACCUGGGGAGCACGCCGGCAACGGUGAAAAUCAAAUGAAUUGGCGGG